rnacentral:rRNA from 1 species
CUUCUGUGACGUAAAAUGCGUAGAUAUCAGAAGGAACCCGGCGGCGAAAGCGACUCUCUGGUCCGAAACUGACGCUGAGUGUGCGAAAGCUAGGGGAGCAAACGGGAUUAGAUACCCCGGUAGUCCUAGCCGUAAACGAUGGGCACUAAGUAGAGGGGUUUUGAUUAUUUCUCUGCCGGGAGCUAACGCAUUAAGUGCCCCGCCUGGGGAGUACGCAGCAAGGCUAAAACUCAAAAGAAUUGAACGGGGGCUCGCACAACGGUGGAGCAUGUGGCUUAAUUCGACGCAACGCGAAGAACCUUACCGGGGCUUGACAUGGUAGAAGUAGAAUCCUGAAAGGGUGACGAUCGGUAUCCAGUCCGAAGCUAUCACAGGUGUUGCAUGGCUGUCGUCAGCUCGUGUCGUGAGACGUUGGGUUAAGUCCCCUAACGAGCGAAACCCUUGUCAUUAGUUGCUAACGGGUAAUGCUGAGCACUUUAGAGAGACUGCCGUCGUUAAGACGGAGGAANWGGGGGCGACGUCAAGUCAUCAUGGCCCUUAUGUCCCGGGCUGCACACGUGCUACAAUGGUCGGUACAAAGGGAUGCUAAGUCGCGAGAUGGUGCGAAACCUAUAAAGCCGAUCUCAGUUCAGAUUGGAGGCUGAAACUCGCCUCCAUGAAGUUGGAAUCGCUAGUAAUCGCGGAUCACGUACGCCGCUGUGAAUAUGUUCCCGAGCNUGUACACACCGCCCGUAACCACCCAAGCAAGAUGCACCUAAAAUCGCCUGCCUAACCCGUAAGGGAGGGAAGUGCCUAAGGUGUGUUUUGUAGAGGACUAAGCGUAACAAGGUAACUC